GCUUUCAUUCCCCACACAUAUCAUCAGGCGGGAUCUGUUGCUUUGGAUCUUUCUCGUUUUGACAAUACCACACAAAUUUCAGAUUGGCCCUCGAAACAUCAGAAGAUAUCAACCUGACACCUGACACCAUAAUGCAACCCUCGCGUCACUUUUAUCUGGUGAUUGUUGGUGCCCUCACUAUGUUCAUCGUUGAGCACGUCAUCCUACCCUUCUUUUCACCCCACAGGGUGGGGACCACCGAGUUUAUGCGCUCGGAGGCAUAUCAAAGGUUCAUGCAUACACCAGUUCGUCCCAGUCUUGGUAAAACUAAAGUGUAUAGUUUCAAUGGAAGUCACAUGCAGCAACUUCAUGAUUUUUGCACGUGGACAGUGCAUGUUGAUUGUGUCCCCCUGAACACACCACGAGGAUUGACGCCAAUCCACAUACACGAUGUAGCGGUUGACAAGUGGGUGUCCAAGAAAAUAAAACAUAAUGGAGUAUGGGAAUCUAACAACAUCAAACUUGUUUUGUCAGAACUGCAAAAGGACCCAGAUCUUGGCUUCAUGGACUUAGGGUCUCAUGUUGGUGCCUACUCCCUUUCUGUGGCCGUGUUUGGGAGGAAGGUGGUAUCUGUGGACCCUCUUAUAGAGAAUGUCCAAAGACUUUGUAAGUCUAUCCAGAAGGGUGGAUUUACGGACAGGAUGACAAUUAUAUUUAAUCCUCUAGGUGCAAACCAUUCUCUCGUGAAUUUCAAGCGUAUUCCAGACAAUCUUGGAGGGACAAGUGUUGUAGCGUCGUCUACAUCGUCGCUCACAUCACCUUGCGGUGAACCAUCUGACUCUUACACUAUAACUUUAGAUGAUAUUUUACCAUACCUUCCAUUCAAGAAAGCAGUUUUGAAAAUGGACAUACAAGAAUUUGAAUAUUACGUUCUCCGUGGUGCUGGCAGAUUUUUCAAGGAGAUUGAAGUUCCAGCAAUUCUUAUGGAAUGGGUACUCAUGAAAACAGAUAUCAAUGGUGAAAACCUGGUAGAGUUAUUAUCAAGCUGGAAAUAUUCUGCAUACGAGCCUAUCAUUGGAGGCAAGAAACUCGACCCAACUCAUUUCAGAAGCUGGCCAUAUGAUGUACUAUGGAAGAAGGCAAAGCUUGAUCAGUAGGACACCAUGACAUACUUUUCAAAUUGUUCAUGAACAAAAUUUCAUGAAUAUAUUGCUAGUUUGGUGAAUAUGUGUAUGUUUAAGACUGAAGCAUGCUUCUUAUUUAUGAUGAAUUACAAAGGAAUAUAGUUCAUCAUUCAGAUGUAUAUUUGCUGUUGAAUGAGGUGUUUGUGAAAUCGAUAAUGCAGUGAGGUAAGGGAUCCAGCGGAUUUCACACAAUGACAUAAGAGCAAUGGGUGAACUGAACGUCGCACUGAUCAAACUGACAUUUACAUAAUGGCUACCUAGAAAGAGCUGUAACAGAUGGACAUAGACAGAAGACAGUGUAGUAGGACAUGGCUGCUGAUGUACAGUGACAUUGCUCAGAUCUCGUGUGGUACAAUGUAACGUUCCUUGAUCGAUUUCCAUGUGUUGGACUCCCGUAAGGUACAAUGUGUACAUUUGUGUUGGACUCCCGUAAGGUACAAUGUUUACGUUUGUGCUGGACUCCCGUAAGGUACAAUGUGUACGUUUGUGUUGGACUCCCGUAAGGUACAAUGUGUACGUUUGUGUUGGUCUCCCGUAAGGUACAGUGUGCACGUUUGUGCUGGUCUCCCGUGAGGUACAAUGUGUACGUUUG
rnacentral:misc_RNA from 1 species